rnacentral:snRNA from 1 species
AGAUAUGAGGGCAGUAUGGCUAUGACAUCUGUCAUCUCACUGGUUCCCAGUGUUGAUUAAGCUGAUCUGGCUGGCUAGAUAAAUGUCCUCCUACUCCCUCACUGUCCCACAUGUCCCCUUCCAAAACUGCAUGCCCUAUAGAUGAUGANCUUCUCCAGUGGAGAAGGAGCAUCCUUCAGUCAGGAGUGCACAAACAGCUGCAUGCCCCUGCUGGAACCUCCAAACAAGUCCUCGAGGUCAAAUGCUGCCCUCCCCAGCCUAACUGAGAUAGGAACCUGGUAUGUGACUCUGUGCUAACAGCUCCGAGAUGCAGGUCAUGGCAUCUUGGUUAAAUGCCAUCUCAU